GGCGAGAUAGCUCAGUUGGCUAGAGCACACGGUUCAUACCCGUGGGGUCGAGGGUUCGAAUCCCCCUCUCGCUA
rnacentral:tRNA from 1 species